rnacentral:rRNA from 1 species
GACGAACGCUGGCGGCGUGCUUAACACAUGCAAGUCGAACGGAAAGGCCCUGCUUGCAGGGUACUCGAGUGGCGAACGGGUGAGUAACACGUGGGUGAUCUGCCCUGCACUUCGGGAUAAGCCUGGGAAACUGGGUCUAAUACCGGAUAGGAGCCAUUUUUAGUGUGAUGGUUGGAAAGUUUUUUCGGUGUAGGAUGAGCUCGCGGCCUAUCAGCUUGUUGGUGGGGUAAUGGCCUACCAAGGCGGCGACGGGUAGCCGGCCUGAGAGGGUGGGCGGCCACAGUGGGACUGAGAGACGGCCCAGACUCCUACGGGAGGCAGCAGUGGGGAAUAUUGCACAAUGGGCGCAAGCCUGAUGCAGCGACGCCGCGGGGGGGAUGACGGCCUUCGGGUUGUAAACUCCUUUCGCUAGGGACGAAGCUUUUUGUGACGGUACCUAGAUAAGAAGCACCGGCUAACUACGUG